rnacentral:rRNA from 1 species
GCUUACACUUAUGCUCGCUCGUAUGUGUGUGGAUGUGAGCGAUACAUUCACACAGAACAGCUAUGACAUGAUACGAUCGAGCUCGUACCCGGGAUCUCUAGAGAUUUGUCAUUAGAGAAGUAAAGUCGUAACAAGUUUCGUAGUGAACUGCGAAGGAUCAUAUCGAAUAAACUGAACAGGUGUGCUGGCCCUCUGGGCAUGUGCACGCUUGUCCAUCUUUAUCAUUUCUCCAACUUGUGCACUUAUUGUAGACCAUUAGAUUUGGGGACUGCUGUGCUUUUUAUCAGUCGGCUUUCCCUUUCUUUUAUAUCAUUCAAGGUCUAUAUGAAUUUUCACAAUCUCAUGAAUGUCGAAUGUAUGUUAAAAAUAAAAGAAAUAUAUACAACUUUCAGCAACGGAUCUCUUGGCUCUCGCAUCGAUGAAGAACGCAGCGAAAUGCGAUAAGUAAUGUGAAUUGCAGAAUUCAGUGAAUCAUCGAAUCUUUGAACGCAUCUUGCGCUCCUUGGUAUUCCAAGGAGCAUGCCUGUUUGAGUGUCAUCAAGUUCUCAACCACAUAUUUUGUGUGUGGCUUGGAUUGUGGGGUGUUGCCAGCUUUUAUACAAGUAGGCUCUCCUUAAAUGUAUAAGUGGUAUUUAGAAAAGCUACAUGUCGGGUGUUAUAAAUUGAUAAUACACCUUUUUGGCAAUUCUACUAUACUGCUUCCAACCCUGUUUUUUUUUUGAUGAUUUUGACCUCAAAUCAGGUAGGACUACCCGCUGAACUUAAGCAUAUCGAUAAGCGGAGGAAAAGAAACUAACAAGGAUUCCCUCAGUAACUGCGAGUGAAGUGGGAAAGGCUCAAAUUUGAAAUCUGGCAGGUUCUACACACUGCCCGAAUUGUAAUCUAAAGAAGUGUUAUCUGUGCUGGACCAUGUAAAAGUCUUCUGGAAUGGAGCAUCAUAGAGGGUGAGAAUCCCGUCUUUGACAUGGACUACCAGUAUGUUUAUGGUACACUCUCAAAGAGUCGAGUUGUUUGGGAAUGCAGCUCAAAAUGGGUGGUAAAUGCCAUCUAAAGCUAAAUAUUGGCGAGAGACCGAUAGCGAACAAGUACCGUGAGGGAAAGAUGAAAAG